CAGAGCCGCGGGAAUACAGAGGGUGCGAGCGUUAAUCGGAUUUACUGGGCGUAAAGCGUGCGUAGGCGGCUUUUUAAGUCGGAUGUGAAAUCCCUGAGCUUAACUUAGGAAUUGCAUUCGAUACUGGUUAGCUAGAGUGUGGGAGAGGAUGGUAGAAUUCCAGGUGUAGCGGUGAAAUGCGUAGAGAUCUGGAGGAAUACCGAUGGCGAAGGCAGCCAUCUGGCCUAAUACUGACGCUAAGGUACGAAAGCAUGGGGAGCAAACAGGAUUAGAUACCCGCGUAGUCCCUGUCUCUUAUACA
rnacentral:rRNA from 1 species